rnacentral:rRNA from 1 species
GAUGAACGCUGGCGGCGUGCCUAAUACAUGCAAGUCGAGCGAACGGACGAGAAGCUUGCUUCUCUGAUGUUAGCGGCGGACGGGUGAGUAACACGUGGAUAACCUACCUAUAAGACUGGGAUAACUUCGGGAAACCGGAGCUAAUACCGGAUAAUAUUUUGAACCGCAUGGUUCAAAAGUGAAAGACGGUCUUGCUGUCACUUAUAGAUGGAUCCGCGCUGCAUUAGCUAGUUGGUAAGGUAACGGCUUACCAAGGCAACGAUGCAUAGCCGACCUGAGAGGGUGAUCGGCCACACUGGAACUGAGACACGGUCCAGACUCCUACGGGAGGCGGCAGUAGGGAAUCUUCCGCAAUGGGCGAAAGCCUGACGGAGCAACGCCGCGUGAGUGAUGAAGGUCUUCGGAUCGUAAAACUCUGUUAUCAGGGAAGAACAUAUGUGUAAGUAACUGUGCACAUCUUGACGGUACCUAAUCAGAAAGCCACGGCUAACUACGUG